UACGGGGGGGGCAAGCGUUGUUCGGAAUUACUGGGCGUAAAGGGCUCGUAGGCGGCCAACUAAGUCAGACGUGAAAUCCCUCAGCUUAACUGAGGAACUGCGUCUGAUACUGGAUGGCUUGGAUUUGGGAGAGGGAUGCGGAAUUCCAGGUGUAGCGGUGAAAUGCGUAGAUAUCUGGAGGAACACCGGUGGCGAAGGCGGCAUCCUGGACCAAUAUUGACGCUGAGGAGCGAAAGCUAGGGGAGCAAACGGG
rnacentral:rRNA from 1 species